GACGAACGCUGGCGGCGUGCUUAACACAUGCAAGUCGAACGGAAAGGCCUUUUCGGAGGUACUCGAGUGGCGAACGGGUGAGUAACACGUGGGUGAUCUGCCCUGCACUCUGGGAAAAGCCUGGGAAACUGGGUCUAAUACCGGAUAGGACCGCACUUUAGUGUGUGUGGGGGAAAGGUUUUUCGGUGUAGGAUGAGCCCGCGGCCUAUCAGCUUGUUGGUGGGGUAAUGGCCUACCAAGGCGGCGGCGGGUAGCCGGACUGAGAGGUUGGUCGGCCACAUUGGGGCUGAGGUGCGGCCCAGGCUCCGACGGGUGGCAGCUGUGGGGAAUAUUGCACAAUGGGCGCAAGCCUUAUGCAGCGACGCCGCGUGGGGGAUAGCGGCCUUCGGGUUGUAAACUCCUUUCGCCAGGGACGAAGCGUUUUGUGACGGUACCUGGAGAAGAAGCACCGGCUAACUACGUG
rnacentral:rRNA from 1 species